rnacentral:ncRNA from 2 species
CACUAUUGAUGAGGCGCACGGAUCAUAACUAGCCUAAAUAGACUGCCUGUAAGCGGGUUUAGGUGAAAGGGUGACGUGCCGAGAUUCGUCUAAGUUACAGCUUAGAAGUUUUGGACCUAGAGGUUAAGAGCUAUGGGUCUGUCAUUAUUUUAAUAAUGGAGUGCAUCACUUGUU